rnacentral:rRNA from 1 species
CGGUUGAUCCUGCCGGACCCUACUGCUAUCAGGGUGAGACUAAAACAUGCAAGUUGAGCGUCUCAAGGCUAUGGUGAGGCGCGGCGUACGGCUCAGUAACACGUGGCUAACCUACCCUUAGGACGAGGACAACCCCGGGAAACUGGGGUUAAUACUCGAUAGGUGAGGAGGCCUGGAAUGGUUCUUCACCAAAAGGGUGUUGAAAGCAUGCUUUUCAACAUCGCCUAAGGAUGGGGCCGCGUCCGAUCAGGUUGUUGGUGGGGUAAUGGCCCACCAAGCCUAUAACCGGUACGGGCCGUGAGAGCGGGAGCCCGGAGAUGGGCACUGAGACAAGGGCCCAGGCCCUACGGGGCGCAGCAGUUGCGAAAACUCCGCAAUGCGCGAAAGCGUGACGGGGUUACCCUGAGUGCCGUCCGCUGAGGAUGGCUUUUCCCCGGUGUAAUGAGCCGGGGGAAUAAGAGGAGGGCAAGACUGGUGUCAGCCGCCGCGGUAAUACCAGCUCCUCGAGUGGUAGGGAUGAUUAUUGAGCUUAAAGCGUCCGUAGCCGGCUUGACAAGUCCCCUGUUAAAUCCAGCGACCCAAUCGUUGGUCCGCGGGGGAUACUAUCAGGCUAGGAGGCGGGAGAGGCCGACGGUAUUCCAGGGGUAGGGGUGAAAUCCUAUAAUCCCUGGAGGACCACCAGUGGCGAAGGCUGUCGGCUAGAACGCGCUCGACGGUGAGGGACGAAAGCUGGGGGAGCAAACCGGAUUAGAUACCCGGGUAGUCCCAGCUGUAAACGAUGCGGACUAGGUGUUGGAGCGGCCACGAGCCGCUUCAGUGCCGCAGGGAAGCCGUUAAGUCCGCCGCUUGGGGAGUACGGCCGCAAGGCUGAAACUUAAAGGAAUUGGCGGGGGAGCAC